rfam:Stegodyphus mimosarum contig69723, whole genome shotgun sequence.
GCCUUCGUUGUGUAGCGGUCAGCACGCUCGACGCGUAUUCGAGAGGUACGUGGUUCGAGUCCCGGCGAGGGCA